rnacentral:tRNA from 1 species
GGAGGAAUAGUUUAUUAGUACGAGAACGUCGCCUUGUCAAGGCGAAAGUGCCAAGGUGGUUUCCUCUA